rnacentral:rRNA from 2 species
UACGUAGGGUGCGAGCGUUAAUCGGAAUUACUGGGCGUAAAGCGUGCGCAGGCGGUUUUGUAAGCCAGAUGUGAAAUCCCCGGGCUUAACCUGGGAAUGGCAUUUGGGACUGCAAGGCUGGAGUGUGGCAGAGGAGACUGGAAUUCCUGGUGUAGCAGUGAAAUGCGUAGAUAUCAGGAGGAAUACCGAUGGCGAAGGCAGGUCUCUGGGCUGACACUGACGCUCAUGCACGAAAGCGUGGGGAGCAAACAGG